AGAAUCAACGCUGGCGGCGUGCCUAACACAUGCAAGUCGAACGAGAAAGUGGAGCAAUCCAUGAGUAAAGUGGCGCACGGGUGAGUAACACGUGACUAACCUACCCUUGAGUGGGGAAUAACUUCGGGAAACCGAGGCUAAUACCGCAUAACACCUACGGGUCAAAGGAGCAAUUCGCUUAAGGAGGGGGUCGCGGCAGAUUAGUUAGUUGGCGGGGUAAUGGCCCACCAAGACAGUGAUCUGUAUCCGGCCUGAGAGGGCGCACGGACACACUGGAACUGAAACACGGUCCAGACUCCUACGGGAGGCAGCAGUGGGAAUUUUGCGCAAUGGGGGAAACCCUGACGCAGCAACGCCGCGUGGAGGAUGAAGUCUCUUGGGACGUAAACUCCUUUCGAUCGGGACGAUAAUGACGGUACCGAGAGAAGAGCCCCGGCUAACUUCGCGCCAGCAGCCGC
rnacentral:rRNA from 1 species